GAUGAACGCUGGCGGCGUGCCUAAUACAUGCAAGUCGAGCGAACAGACGAGGAGCUUGCUCCUCUGACGUUAGCGGCGGACGGGUGAGUAACACGUGGAUAACCUACCUAUAAGACUGGGAUAACUUCGGGAAACCGGGGCUAAUACCGGAUAAUAUAUUGAACCGCAUGGUUCAAUAGUGAAAGACGGUUUUGCUGUCACUUAUAGAUGGAUCCGCGCCGCAUUAGCUAGUUGGUAAGGUAACGGCUUACCAAGGCAACGAUGCGUAGCCGACCUGAGAGGGUGAUCGGCCACACUGGAACUGAGACACGGUCCAGACUCCUACGGGAGGCAGCAGUAGGGAAUCUUCCGCAAUGGGCGAAAGCUUGACGGAGCAACGCCGCGUGAGUGAUGAAGGUCUUCGGAUCGUAAAACUCUGUUAUUAGGGAAGAACAAAUGUGUAAGUAACUAUGCACGUCCUGACGGUACCUAAUCAGAAAGCCACGGCUAACUACGUG
rnacentral:rRNA from 1 species